rnacentral:tRNA from 2 species
AAAGGAUUAGUUAACCAAAUAACAUCAGAAUGUCAAACUGAAAUGAUCAUAAAGAUAUCCUUUU